GAUGAAGAACGCAGCGAAAUGCGAUACUUGGUGUGAAUUGCAGAAUCCCGUGAACCAUCGAGUCUUUGAACGCAAGUUGCGCCCGAAGCCAUUAGGCCGAGGGCACGCCUGCCUGGGCGUCACACGUCGUUGCCCCCCCAUCUACUCCUUCGGGAUUGCGGGGGGCGGAUGAUGGCCUCCCGUGCGCCUCGUCGCGCGGUUGGCAUAAAUGCCAAGUCCUCGGCGACGCACGCCACGACAAUCGGUGGUUGCGAAACCUCGGUUGCCCGUCGUGUGCGGUCGUCGCGCAUCGAGGGCUCGAAAAAAUUGCCGGGCUCCGGCUCGGCUUUCAACGCGACCCCAGGUCAGGCGGGGUUACCCGCUGAAUUUAAGCAUAUCAAUAAGCGAGGA
rnacentral:misc_RNA from 1 species